rnacentral:rRNA from 1 species
ACCGACGCAUUUUUCCCUGCCUUUGGACGCCGCGACCGGUUGGAAUAAAGUCGCGCUUUCACUGAAGUGUCUGCCGUGGCGCCGUCGUUCGAUGCCCACGCGUGUGGAUGCGGUCCGCGGCGUUUCAUUCGGUCGCCCAUUCCACCCGUCUUGAAACACGGACCAAGGAGUCUAACUUGUGCGCGAGUCACGGGGUCUUGAACAGGCCCAGAGGCGAAACGAAAGUGACGUCGUGAUUCCGUGGACGCAACGACGGCCGGCGCCGUGCUUGAGCGCACAAUUUAGUACCCGAAAGAUGGUGACCUAUGCCCGGUCAGGGUGAAGUCAGGGGAAACUCUGAUGGAGGCCCGAAGCGCUUCUGACGUGCAAAUCGAUUGCGAGAACCGGGUAUAGCGGCGAAAGACUCAUCGAACCAUCUAGUAGCUGGUUCCCUCCGAAGUUUCCCUCAGGAUAGCUGGCGCUCAUUUAGUCUCGCCGUGUAAAGCGAA